CGAAUGUCUUCCUACUUGUGACUACCGGGGAAAAUUCUCCCCAGGUAAAUGCAGGACAGGAUGUGGAGAGCCAACUCAGAGAUGGUACCAUAUCCCACGAUCUUGGUUUCAGCCAUCUGGUAAUACGCUAGUAAUCUUUGAAGAGAAAGGUGGUGACCCUACUAAGAUUACCUUUUCAAGACGCCGUGUAACAGGCAUUUGUGGUUUCAUUUCGGAAGAUUACCCUUCAGUCGAUUUGGAUUCUUGGGGAAAGAGCAUCAAUG
rnacentral:misc_RNA from 1 species